GAUAAUUUAGUGAAAGUCACGUCAUUAUUUCAUGAUGAAAAUGUUUUAGUUUUCU
rnacentral:tRNA from 1 species